rnacentral:rRNA from 1 species
CACGUAGGGUCCGAGCGUUGUCCGGAAUUACUGGGCGUAAAGCGCACGUAGGCGGCCUGAUAAGUCGGGUGUGAAAGCCCUGGGCUCAACCCAGGAAGUGCACUCGAAACUGUCAGGCUUGAAUAUGGAAGAGGGUCGCGGAAUUCCCGGUGUAGAGGUGAAAUUCGUAGAUAUCGGGAGGAACACCAGUGGCGAAGGCGGCGCCUGGGCCAAUAUUGACGCUGAGGUGCGAAAGCGUGGGGAGCAAACAGG